GGAUUCCCUCUCUCAAUGUCUCUCUGUCAAAAUGAAAUCAUAAAAAAAAAAAAAUUCUCAAUAAGACCCAGUAUUGGCCAUGAUAAAGAUGCUGGCCUGUACUGCCUUCAAAAUUCAGGGGCUAUUUUGCAUUUCCUU